AUGAACUGUUUUCACGCCUCUAGAGGCAAGCCAGAGGGAGAGCUGACUGCUGAGCAGGAGCAAGCUUUCCAAGCUAUAGACACCCUCUUUAGAGGUGCUGUCUUGAGUGUUCUUGGCGACAAGAUUGUCGAUCCAUUCAUGACGAUCAUGGUCGGUAAAGAUAUGUGGGAUGCGCUCGAAGCCAAGUUUGGAGUCGCAGACGCGGGAAGUGAGUUGUAUAUCAUGGAACAGUACCAUGACUACAAGAUGACUGAUGACCGCUCCGUUGUUGAGCAGGCUCAUGAGAUUCAGUCGCUCACUAAAGAACUUGAGCAUCUCAAUUGUGUGUUACCGGACAAAUUCAUUGCCGGAGGCAUCAUUGCCAAGCUUCCACCUUCAUGGAGGAAUUUUGCUACCUCUCUGAAGCAUAAGAGGCAAGAAUUUACUGUUGGCAAUCUAAUUGGCACUCUUGAUGUCGAAAAGAUGGCGAGGGUCGCAAGAACUACACCCGUGCUGAUGGGAAAUGGGACACAUGCUUCUGUUCAUGGUGUUGGUACGGUCGAUCUGAAGUUUACUUCGGGAAAGAUCGUGUGA
rnacentral:rRNA from 1 species